rnacentral:rRNA from 1 species
CGAAGGGUGCUAGCGUUGUUCGGAAUCACUGGGCGUAAAGCGCGCGUAGGCGGCUUUGCAAGUCAGGGGUGAAAUGCCACAGCUCAACUGUGGAACUGCCUUUGAAACUGCAAAGCUAGAGUGUCGGAGGGGAUAGCGGAAUUCCUAAUGUGGAGGUGAAAUUCGUAGAUAUUAGGAGGAACACCGGUGGCGAAGGCGGCUAUCUGGACGACAACUGACGCUUAGGCGCGAAAGUGCGGGGAUCAAACAGGAUUAGAUACCCUGGUAGUCCGCACUGUAAACGAUGGAUGCUAGCCGUUGGGGGGUUACCCUUCAGUGGCGCAGCUAACGCGUUAAGCAUCCCGCCUGGGGAGUACGGUCGCAAGAUUA